AACGAACGCUGGCGGCAGGCUUUACACAUGCAAGUCGAGCGGAGAUGAGGUGCUUGCACCUUAUCUUAGCGGCGGACGGGUGAGUAAUGCUUAGGAAUCUGCCUAUUAGUGGGGGACAACAUUCCGAAAGGAAUGCUAAUACCGCAUACGUCCUACGGGAGAAAGCAGGGGAUCUUCGGACCUUGCGCUAAUAGAUGAGCCUAAGUCGGAUUAGCUAGUUGGUGGGGUAAAGGCCUACCAAGGCGACGAUCUGUAGCGGGUCUGAGAGGAUGAUCCGCCACACCGGGACUGAGACACGGCCCAGACUCCUACGGGAGGCAGCAGUGGGGAAUAUUGGACAAUGGGGGGAACCCUGAUCCAGCCAUGCCGCGUGUGUGAAGAAGGCCUUAUGGUUGUAAAGCACUUUAAGCGAGGAGGAGGCUACUGAGACUAAUACUCUUGGAUAGUGGACGUUACUCGCAGAAUAAGCACCGGCUAACUCUGUGCCAGCCGCCGCAGUAACAC
rnacentral:rRNA from 1 species